CUUGAUCUUAGGUUUAUUAAGUGCGUUUUUCACUUUGUAGGGUGAUUAGAGGGCCAGCUCCAAAGUACUUGGCGAAUAAGUCCUACAGGGAGUUUAACGAUUUCUUCCAAAGUGUUUCCUAGCCACUGCACAUGCUCUUAAAUUAGUCUCCACCUAAUACACCCCCUUUCUGGUCUGGUACCAUUUGUUAGGAAGCAAGCGUGUCAGAAUGGGCUUCUGCUCUGAUGAAGAAAAGUUUGCUGGCGUAUGGAUGUGUUGGCUGCUGUUGGAGCUGCCAUCUUGGAGAACAAGUUGGAAUCGUUCAGAUUUCCUGGAUCAAAUGUUCCCAAGGCCCGUGAGGUCAUGUGGUUUCAGAGACAUAAGCUAAGCUCGGUGUGUAUUACAGAGAAGCCAUCGCAUCCGGGCGUGACCAUUUUGAAGUUUACAGGAUCCCUGGGAUCUGACCUGCAUGGACAGCUACAAGAACAAAGGAUUCCAACAUGGAGAAGUUUGCAACAAUUCACCACGACCCUCCCUCACCUGGCCUUUAAAAGUGCUUUACUGAAACCCUUUGAGGAAUUUGGAGUUUUUGCGUGGCACAAGGUACUCCAGUUCUCCUUGCAUGGCCCUGCAAUAAACCUUUCUC
ensembl:lncRNA